CGGGGCGUGACCCCGGGUCCCGGGAUCGAGUCCCGCGUGGGGCUCCCUGCGUGGGGCCUGCUCCUCCCUCUGCCUGGGUCUCUGCCUCUCUCUCUCUUUCUCUCUCUCUCUGUCUCUCAUGAAUAAAUAAAUAAAAUCUUAAAUAAAAUAAAAAUAAAAAGGGGUCCGGUGAGCACGGCCGGCUCAGGCCCGAGCACGGGCCUCCCGGAGACCCGCCGAGGCCCACGACGGCCUGUGAGCCCGGGGACAGCAGCGCCCGCGGGGACACCCCAAGGGGCUGCGAGGUCGCGGCCUGGAGCCGCCGUGUCGCCUGCCCGUCGCCAGGGGGCGCCGCUGCCUCGGGCCACCGCGCUCCGCCGGCGCCGGGCUCCCAGGGCCGCCCCGUCCCCCCGCUUGGAAGGCCGGCUGCCGAGAGGGCCCCGGGGUCGCUGCCCCCCGAAGGAGUCACCCUUCUCCGAAUAAAAACGGGAAGGGCUUCCGAUGCAACUGGGAGACGACGGCUCCGCUCUCUGCGUGCGAAAACGCCCGAAGUCGUUAGGUAAAACCGGUGACCCCGCUAGGGAGCCGCGGCUGCAAAACUGCCCUUGCUCGGGACUCGCCUCCAAACGCCCGCAGUUCUACAGAAUCAGCCCAACAGGGAUCCCUGGGUGGCGCAGCGGUUUGGCGCCUGCCUUUGGCCCAGGGCGCGAUCCUGGAGACCCGGGAUCGAAUCCCACGUCGGGCUCCCGGUGCAUGGAGCCUGCUUCUCCCUCUGCCUGUGUCUCUGCCUCUCUUUCUCUCUGUAACUAUCAUAAAUAAAUAAAAAUUAAAAAAAAAUCAGCCCAACAGCAGAGAAAGACUGUGGGGCGUGCGUCCGGCUCCCUGGCGGCCAGAGGGGACACCAAGGAAGCCACCCGAGGCCAGGGGACCAACGCGGAUGACGGGGAGCACGGCAUUUGCACAUGAUUUUUAGAGAUCUUCUCAUUUCCUGGACGAUGUGAAAAGGCAGAAAAACCAGACCCACCCCCAAAUGUGGGAGCGAUGGUCCUAUUGAUGUUCCCGCCGCCAAGAGCGGUUAGGGACCCACGCGUCGCCCACGGGACCCGGACUCGCUGGAAGGCCUGGGGCGGGAGCCGGGGCGCCGUCGGGGCGCGACGACCACAGCCUCGGGCCUGGAGGGCCCCUCGUCUGCGCAGUGAAGGAUGCU
rnacentral:lncRNA from 1 species